CACGAACCGUACGAACGUUAUUCGGAAUUACUGGGCUUAAAGGGUUUGUAGGCGGCCACGUAAGUCAGGUGUGAAAUCCCUCGGCUCAACCGAGGAAUGGCGCUUGAUACUGCGUGGCUUGAGGGAGACAGGGGUAAGCGGAACUGAUGGUGGAGCGGUGAAAUGCGUUGAUAUUGUAAGGAACACCCGUGGCGAAAGCGGCUCACUGGGUCUUUUCUGACGCUGAUGCACGAAAGCUAGGGGAGCAAACGGG
rnacentral:rRNA from 1 species